GCCUAAUACAUGCAAGUCGAGCGAACGGACGAGAAGCUUGCUUCUCUGAUGUUAGCGGCGGACGGGUGAGUAACACGUGGAUAACCUACCUAUAAGACUGGGAUAACUUCGGGAAACCGGAGCUAAUACCGGAUAAUAUUUUGAACCGCAUGGUUCAAAAGUGAAAGACGGUCUUGCUGUCACUUAUAGAUGGAUCCGCGCUGCAUUAGCUAGUUGGUAAGGUAACGGCUUACCAAGGCAACGAUGCAUAGCCGACCUGAGAGGGUGAUCGGCCACACUGGAACUGAGACACGGUCCAGACUCCUACGGGAGGCAGCAGUAGGGAAUCUUCCGCAAUGGGCGAAAGCCUGACGGAGCAACGCCGCGUGAGUGAUGAAGGUCUUCGGAUCGUAAAACUCUGUUAUUAGGGAAGAACAUAUGUGUAAGUAACUGUGCACAUCUUGACGGUACCUAAUCAGAAAGCCACGGCUAACUACGUGCCAGCAGCCGCGGUAAUACGUAGGUGGCAAGCGUUAUCCGGAAUUAUUGGGCGUAAAGCGCGCGUAGGCGGUUUUUUAAGUCUGAUGUGAAAGCCCACGGCUCAACCGUGGAGGGUCAUUGGAAACUGGAAAACUUGAGUGCAGAAGAGGAAAGUGGAAUUCCAUGUGUAGCGGUGAAAUGCGCAGAGAUAUGGAGGAACACCAGUGGCGAAGGCGACUUUCUGGUCUGUAACUGACGCUGAUGUGCGAAAGCGUGGGGAUCAAACAGGAUUAGAUACCCUGGUAGUCCACGCCGUAAACGAUGAGUGCUAAGUGUUAGGGGGUUUCCGCCCCUUAGUGCUGCAGCUAACGCAUUAAGCACUCCGCCUGGGGAGUACGACCGCAAGGUUGAAACUCAAAGGAAUUGACGGGGACCCGCACAAGCGGUGGAGCAUGUG
rnacentral:rRNA from 1 species